GACGAACGCUGGCGGCGUGCUUAACACAUGCAAGUCGAACGGAAAGGCCCUGCUUUUGUGGGGUGCUCGAGUGGCGAACGGGUGAGUAACACGUGAGUAACCUGCCCUUGACUUUGGGAUAACUUCAGGAAACUGGGGCUAAUACCGGAUAGGAGCUCCUGCUGCAUGGUGGGGGUUGGAAAGUUUCGGCGGUUGGGGAUGGACUCGCGGCUUAUCAGCUUGUUGGUGGGGUAGUGGCUUACCAAGGCUUUGACGGGUAGCCGGCCUGAGAGGGUGACCGGCCACAUUGGGACUGAGAUGCGGCCCAGACUCCUACGGGAGGCAGCAGUGGGGAAUAUUGCACAAUGGGCGGAAGCCUGAUGCAGCAACGCCGCGUGCGGGAUGACGGCCUUCGGGUUGUAAACCGCUUUCGCCUGUGACGAAGCGUGAGUGACGGUAAUGGGUAAAGAAGCACCGGCUAACUACGUGC
rnacentral:rRNA from 1 species